UACGUAGGGGGCAAGCGUUGUUCGGAUUCAUUGGGCGUAAAGGGUGCGUAGGCGGCGCGGUAAGUCGGGUGUGAAAUCUCGGGGCUUAACUCCGAAACUGCAUUCGAUACUGCCGUGCUUGAGGACUGGAGAGGAGACUGGAAUUUACGGUGUGCGGUGAAAUGCGUAGAUAUCGUAAGGAAGACCAGUGGCGAAGGCGGGUCUCUGGACAGUUCCUGACGCUGAGGCACGAAGGCCAGGGGGAGCAAACGGG
rnacentral:rRNA from 1 species